rnacentral:rRNA from 1 species
AGAGUUUGAUCAUGGCUCAGGACGAACGCUGGCGGCGCGCCUAACACAUGCAAGUCGAACGAGCAAGAGAGAGCUUGCUUUCUCGAGCGAGUGGCGAACGGGUGAGUAACGCGUGAGGAACCUGCCUCAAAGAGGGGGACAACAGUUGGAAACGACUGCUAAUACCGCAUAAGCCCACGGUGCCGCAUGGCACAGAGGGAAAAGGAGCAAUCCGCUUUGAGAUGGCCUCGCGUCCGUA